AAUGCCUAGGAAUCUGCCUGGUAGUGGGGGACAACGUUCGGAAACGGACGCUAAUACCGCAUACGUCCUACGGGAGAAAGCAGGGGACCUUCGGGCCUUGCGCUAUCAGAUGAGCCUAGGUCGGAUUAGCUAGUUGGUGAGGUAAUGGCUCACCAAGGCGACGAUCCGUAACUGGUCUGAGAGGAUGAUCAGUCACACUGGAACUGAGACACGGUCCAGACUCCUACGGGAGGCAGCAGUGGGGAAUAUUGGACAAUGGGCGAAAGCCUGAUCCAGCCAUGCCGCGUGUGUGAAGAAGGUCUUCGGAUUGUAAAGCACUUUAAGUUGGGAGGAAGGGUUGUAGAUUAAUACUCUGCAAUUUUGACGUUACCGACAGAAUAAGCACCGGCUAACUCUGUGCCAGCAGCCGCGGUAAUACAGAGGGUGCAAGCGUUAAUCGGAAUUACUGGGCGUAAAGCGCGCGUAGGUGGUUUGUUAAGUUGGAUGUGAAAUCCCCGGGCUCAACCUGGGAACUGCAUUCAAAACUGACUGACUAGAGUAUGGUAGAGGGUGGUGGAAUUUCCUGUGUAGCGGUGAAAUGCGUAGAUAUAGGAAGG
rnacentral:rRNA from 1 species